rnacentral:rRNA from 1 species
GACGAACGCUGGCGGCGUGCUUAACACAUGCAAGUCGAACGGAAAGGCCCUGCUUUUGUGGGGUGCUCGAGUGGCGAACGGGUGAGUAACACGUGAGUAACCUGCCCUUGACUUUGGGAUAACUUCAGGAAACUGGGGCUAAUACCGGAUAGGAGCUCCUGCUGCAUGGUGGGGGUUGGAAAGUUUCGGCGGUUGGGGAUGGACUCGCGGCUUAUCAGCUUGUUGGUGGGGUAGUGGCUUACCAAGGCUUUGACGGGUAGCCGGCCUGAGAGGGUGACCGGCCACAUUGGGACUGAGGUAGGGCCCAGACUCCUACGGGAGGCAGCAGUGGGGAAUAUUGCACAAUGGGCGGAAGCCUGAUGCAGCAACGCCGCGUGCGGGAUGACGGCCUUCGGGUUGUAAACCGCUUUCGCCUGUGACGAAGCGUGAGUGACGGUAAUGGGUAAAGAAGCACCGGCUAACUACGUG